UGUCCGGAAUUAUUGGGCGUAAAGAGCUCGUAGGUGGUUCGAUACGUCGGAUGUGAAAAUCAGGGGCUCAACCCCUGACCUGCAUCCGAUACGGUCGAGCUAGAGUUUGGUAGGGGAGACUGGAAUUCCUGGUGUAGCGGUGGAAUGCGCAGAUAUCAGGAGGAACACCGAUGGCGAAGGCAGGUCUCUGGGCCAAUACUGACACUGAGGAGCGAAAGCGUGGGGAGCGAACAGGAUUAGAUACCCUGGUAGUCCACGCCGUAAACGGUGGGCGCUAGUUGUGCGAACCUUCCACGGUUUGUGCGACGCAGCUAACGCAUUAAGCGCCCCGCCUGGGGAGUACGAUCGCAAGAUUAAAACUCAAAGGAAUUGACGGGGCCCCGCACAAGCAGCGGAGCAUGCGGCUUAAUUCGACGCAACGCGAAGAACCUUACCAAGGCUUGACAUAUACAGGAAUAUGGCAGAGAUGUCAUAGCCGCAAGGUCUGUAUACAGGUGGUGCAUGGUUGUCGUCAGCUCGUGUCGUGAGAUGUUGGGUUAAGUCCCGCAACGAGCGCAACCCUCGUUCUGUGUUGCCAGCAUUUAGUUGGGGACUCACAGGAGACUGCCGGGGUUAACUCGGAGGAAGGUGGGGAUGACGUCAAAUCAUCAUGCCCCUUAUGUCUUGGGCUGCACGCAUGCUACAAUGGCUGGUACAAACGGCUGCGAUACCGCAAGGUGGAGCGAAUCCGAGAAAGCCAGUCUCAGUUCGGAUUGGGGUCUGCAACUCGACCCCAUGAAGUCGGAGUUGCUAGUAAUCGUAGAUCAGCAACGCUACGGUGAAUACGUUCCCGGGGCUUGUACACACCGCCCGUCACGUCACGAAAGUCGGUAACACCCGAAGUCAGUGGCCCAACCGCAAGGAGGGAGCUGCCGAAGGUGGGAUCGGUGAUUGGGACGAAGUCGUAACAAGGUAGCC
rnacentral:rRNA from 1 species